GGUAGAACCGACCUACCAAUGUCGUCUUAUAAGAGAGCAUUAAACCACCUAAAGGUGCUUUGGUAAAGAGCCAGGGUAUUGAGCGUUUAGGAAACGGUCACGCCAAGAGCGUGAUCAGGU
rnacentral:ncRNA from 1 species